CCUACGGGGUGCUGCAGUAGGGAAUCUUCCACAAUGGGCGAAAGCCUGAUGGAGCAACGCCGCGUGGGUGAAGAAGGUCUUCGGAUCGUAAAACCCUGUUGUUAGAGAAGAAAGUGCGUGAGAGUAACUGUUCACGUUUCGACGGUAUCUAACCAGAAAGCCACGGCUAACUACGUGCCAUCAGCCGCGGUAAUACGUAGGUGGCAAGCGUUAUCCGGAUUUAUUUGGCGUAAAGGGAACGCAGGCGGUCUUUUAAGUCUGAUGUGAAAGCCUUCGGCUUAAACGGAGUAGGGCAUUGGAAACUGGGAGACUUGAGUGCAGAAGAGGAGAGUGGAACUCCAUGUGUAGCGGUGAAAUGCGUAGAUAUAUGGAAGAACACCAGUGGCGAAGGCGGGUUGCUAGACGGUAACUGACACUGAGGCACGAAAGCGUGGGGAGCAAACAGGAUUAGAUACCCGAGUAGUC
rnacentral:rRNA from 1 species